CGCUUCGGCGAGUUUGAAUGUGGGCUUCCUUAGUUUAGCUCAGCUGUCUCGGAUUAGCUGAUUGUUAGCAGGCUGAAGCCGCGGUGCUUCAGCUGUGUAACACACUGUCGGCCAGCAGAGAUCCAUGCGCACCUUUCUGCUGCAAUUCCUCGGCUGGAUGAGACGGUCCGUUACAGGCGUCUCCAAACACGUCUAACAUAAUAAACUCAUUGCAGUUUCUGAAGCCUCACGCAUUGACCGUGUGAGACACGCAUUUCAACCAUAUCUCGCACGCCACAUCGUGAGAAGACUAGGAGGCGGAGGCUUUUGAUAGAACUGCUCGGUGCAAGUUAAAGAUGUAGCAGCACAGAGCAGGUGGAGGAAAACCCGCAGGACUCAAGAGACACAAAUGAAACCAAAAAAUAAAGUGGAGACAAAGAGAAAGAAAAGACUGUUCAAUGAAAAGUGGGGGUCCAGUUGAGUGGCUGGUUUAUGAUGCAGCCAAGAAAAUCAUGUAUUGCACUGAUGUUAAGGGGUCUCUUGUUGGGACAAGCAAUUUCACAGUGGAAACAAAGGACCAUGAAUUUUCCGUUGGCCAUGUCAAAAGCAUUGCGAGUAAACAGACAAAGACAACAAAGUGUUGAGUUUAUGUCCCUGGUCCUCAUGAAGUUGGCGGAGCUUUACACCCUUGUCAUUUGUUAAAUUGACUUGCAAAUAAAUGCUUUGUUAUUGGUUUCAGCUGAGCUUUUCCAAGGAGCACUUGAAAGCAGCAUGUGCGCGUUGGCGUUUCUAUGGUUGCGUUGCUAUGGAGUACUGCCACAACAGUAUUUGUAAGUUGCCCUCCAGCUGCAAGCGUCUCUGGUCGAAUUUGACCAACAACACAGAUGAUGAAAUCUUCAUGAAACAGACACAGACAUGUUGAAGAAUGAGCAAGUGAAGCGGCAGUCUCUGAAACAAGCGGUUCUGGCCAACCAGUGGGGAUCUGUGGUGUCCAACACAGGGAGCUUGGCUCACGAGAGAACUUCCCGGCAACAACUUGAAAUGUGUAUCGGCCACCAUGACCAAAACAAAUACACACUACGUUGUAAGCAGAAGGCUGACUGCCUACAGCAGAGAGAUGAAGAUGGAUUCAGUGAUGAUGAAACAGAGGAUUGUCAGCUUUAUGAUAGCCUUGAUGCAGCAUCACACAACCAUGCCAAAUGUACCCCCACCCCGUUACAGACUGAAUAUGCAGACACAAGCCAGCUGCUCACUGACGAUGCCUACUAUGACCUACGCUAUGACCCCAACUGGAGGACCAACCUGAGGGGAGCUGGCCGCUUCAACAAGAGUCCACACAUUUCUGUUGAGGAAUAUUACCAGUUCCCGAAAGAGAAAGCUGCUCAUCCACCUGUUGAGAGCAGAGAGCCUGUUACAAAAGGAGGAUACAAAUACAUUGUUGCCACCAGUCCAGCUGUUCUGGUAACUCCGGAUAUGGCUGGCAAUGAGCCUGACCAGCCGUACCGCCUCCACCCACAAGAUGUUGAGACUAGCACACCAACAUCUCCCCACUUUCAUCACCAUGCGUUACAAUUCCGAUCAGCAGUGGUUGACCUUUCAAAGCCACCCUGCAAUAAUCCUAAAGAGGAAAGGGACAAAAGUUUACUGACAGGUGAUAAAUGUAAGACCUUCUUCCAGCAAGAACCGAGAUGUCCACAAGGCAGACUCACUGCAACAGAGCAAAUGACCGCAUUUCCCAAGGAUUUGUUUAACAAAAAGCCGGAAAGACUGUCAGGGGAGAUUGUGGAACGCAACAAAACAACCCUGGGACACAACACAUCCAAACGUGGCUCGUAUGCGAGUGUGCAUGUACGUAAGCAGGAUGUCAAUAAGUCCCCAGGUACCCGGAUCAGGGAAAGGAAGAAAGCCCAGCAGAAAGAACACCCCAAACCUCUUCUACCGCAGCAGCAGCCCCCAGCUGAGUGGGGAGACUGUCAGAGCUCCACAUUGGCAGGAGCAUCCGCUGUAACUAAGCCAAACCCUCAGAAGGCGAUUUCAUUGCAACCUUUGCUCCCCACCAUCCACCUCAACGUCAGCCUUAACACUGCUUCCUAUUUCCUUCCGUCAAUCGGAGACCCGGAUGGCCUUAUAGAUUUAGCAUCUCUUCACAGUUGUCCACAUUGGAGCCCUGCAUCUGAAGAUGAAAUUGCUUCGUCCCCUGGAUGUCAACAAAUAAAUCCAGGAAUAUCCUCCUGGAUGUCUUGGAGACGGGUAAAUCUGCCCCACCGAGACCAGGACAGUUGCUCCGAACAGCGGCAAAGGGGAGCUGCAUUGCAGUGGCCAAUAACCUGUGAAGGGGAGGACCAGAAGGAAAUUGCACAAAACCUCACUUUGUCACUGGGCUCCAGCUCUUACCCACUUCUGCCAGCUAUAGGAAAGUCAAUGACAGGAAAAGAGCCCGAGCAGAGCCCUGAUGUGAACUCAGCCUAUCCCGUCCAUAGAAGCAGCUCGAAGGGCUACCUGGUUAAGAUGGAGAAACAGAAACAACUAAGGACAAGAGUCCCAUACAAGGCAUACAGUCUGAAAGACUACAAGCAGCUGAAGUCAGAUAUAGUUCUGCAAGGCCUUGGUCCUGACUACACAGCUAUAGAAGAGACAGCUUCCAUGCUGUUCGACGGAUAAAAUUACACCUCCAAAGCAAAUAAGGGUACCUCUAAGAUGUUAAGUGCUUUAUGCUAGGAUGCUUUUUUAAAUCCCCAGCAGUGAAAAGUGAGCAUGUUUGGCCAAUUUACACCAGAUUGAGCUCUGGGCAUCUCCAGGUCCAAAUUGUGAAUGAUAUGUGUAAAUGUUGCCCCCCUGAAUGGCUGGCUGUGUUUGGUUUUGUUGGGCUGCGUGGAGAGGCUCUGCCGGGGGGAGCACGAAGAGAAAGGCCUUAAGAGAGAAAUGGCUCAGUUAAUUAAAACCCCUUUUAUAAUCUGCUUCUAUUUCUCUCUCACUCCCUCUCUCGCUCUUUCACCGUCAUCAUGCUGAGAAACUGAAGCGACAGAAGCUGUAUUCAAAUGUGAUCCGCGAGCAGAACAAAAAGAUAAGUAGGAUUCCCUUUCUGCUGGCCAAGGACCCGGAAGGCAAUGACAACAAAGUUCCCAGGCUGAAGGCCUUGGAAUAUGCUAAAACCAUAGCCAAACCCCCUCUACAGUUUCCACCACGGCAGAGACAGAAACCAGUCCAGUCCAAAGGCUUCCCUGAGCAUGCUUCUGACAUGGAUGUCCCUCAUAUGGCCGUACUAGAAGUCCUUAGAAAACGGCAUGAAGAAGAAAAGCAGGCCGUGUCACUCUUCAGAAAACAACAUGCUGUCUGAGGCAAGGUGAAUCGAUCCCAUUUAACCAUGCCACAGUGGUCUUUGGUUUGGUACUGCAGCAUACAAAAAUAGAUUUUACUCAUUAAAAAGUUUACUAAUGAAAUCCUACUAGUUUGAAAUAUAAAUCAGUUUUUUAUGCACUCACAUUAUAUGUAAGAUUGGAACUGGUGUCCAUUAAUAUAUAAAGGACUGCAGCAUUUCUGCCUUGGCUUUACUACUCAGUCGUAACUAUGGGUUCCUUCUUACAUCCGAAUCAAUGCAUUUACUCCAAUUCAUGUGUUUUAGCAAAAUCACUUUUCCUUCAGUUCAUUUGAAUGUGAGUAGAGGGUUUGGGAUUAAAAUAAAUAAAUAACUCAGUUGUGAAAAUUUGAACCAGCAUCCUCUCUGGAAAAAACGUGAGCCUGUAAACAUCACAUUCAGGAAGCAAAUCAAAGCAGUGAUCAAUGGGCCAAUAAAGUGAAAUAGGAUAAUAAAACGUGUGUCACUAACAUGGGCCAACUGUGCGAAAAAGCUCUUUGGAUGAAUUCUGUUGUCAUGCGUUGUCUAUUACAUCCAACUCGUUGCUCAUGAAUUCUUCCCCAGUGUACUAAAAUAAAUAAUGAAGCAUCUGGUUCUUAAUCCAUC